rnacentral:rRNA from 1 species
UACGGGGGGGGCAAGCGUUGUUCGGAAUUACUGGGCGUAAAGGGCUCGUAGGUGGCCAACUAAGUCAGACGUGAAAUCCCUCGGCUUAACCGGGGAACUGCGUCUGAUACUGGAUGGCUGGAGUUUGGGAGAGGGAUGCGGAAUUCCAGGUGUAGCGGUGAAAUGCGUAGAUAUCAAGAGGAACACCUGAGGUGAAGACGGGUUGCUGGGCUGACACUGACGCUGAGGCGCGAAAGCCAGGGGAGCAAACGGG